CCAGCGAAAAUCCACUUUUUUUCAGCUGGAAGACAAUGCCCAGAGCUUCGCAAUGAUGUUGCACAAUGAUUUAAGUCAUCAUUUUAGUCAAAUUAUGAUAUAUUUGGGCUUGAAGUGGGAAAUCCGAAGUGCGAACUUCGUGGAAAUCAGUGUUAAUGACUUGUAUGUUCUUUCUGACUUACGUGUCAGUUAAAGGGCUAGUUUUAGUUCAUUUGGAAACACUUACCUGUAAACAUGUUAUAGCUAACACGUGUGGGCUCCUUUCUUCCUGUUUACAACCUGCUGCUACUAUGGCUUACUGCGGUCUGCAAUGCACUUCGACUGUUGGGAGAUGUUGGAUGGGAUGACACCGGUGAAACGGCUACCUAUCGCAGCCCCCCUCUUCUCUGCAUGGCGACAGAAGUGAAACCUUGGCCAGACAGACACCUUCUCCACUGAGAAUGUUUGAGAGUCAACAGACAACAAAAAUUCAGCCUUACUGGAGUUUGUCCAGAAAAAUGCUGUGUACACAUAAAUUUUAGUAGCUUAUUGUGAAGGACUGAGGACUGGGCUGUGUGAUGCAGACCAAGGACAGAGGCUGAGCAAGCAGCAAUAUUGUCAUAAAGUGAAGAUGUGGAUAUUCUGUUCUGUUUAUCAUUCAAUGCAUGUUCUGAUAAUGUUUAUAUAACCUACUACAAUUACAAUAUGAGCAAACACUGUAAUGGAAAAUAAAAGAUUAUAAUGUACAGAAAGCCCACAUGUUAAUUAUAGUCUACUGCGCUCAGGGUCCUAUCACACAAGACCCCUCAUUGACUGAGGGUUCCCAAUGUUACAAUAUGUUUGAGGGGGGCCACAUUGACAUUUCAAUUGUUAUGGGGGUCCUCAUGAGCACCACUGAAGUUAAAACCAUGUCUGUGCUCUAACAGGUCACCAUUUCCUCCUGUCUUGGCUAUAACCUACAUUACAGUAUACUGUCCACAUUAUGUUACAGGAACAUUAGUGUUAUGA